CUAAAAAAUGCUGGGUUGUUUCUGUAAACACAUUGUUGGGUUGUUUAUGCUGGGUCAAAAUUCUGGGUUGUUUGGAGUACUUUAAACACACUGUUGGGUUGCUCAUGCUGGGUCAAAUGAAAUGUAGUGGGUAAUUUACAAAUGAACACAUGGUUGGGUAAAUUUGACCCAGCAAAUGGUUUAUUUUCCUUUCAUUGGCUGGCCGUUUCUCAAGGCAGCCUUCACAAUGUUCAAAAUAUUAUCAUUUAAAUAUUACCAAAUGUAGUUUUAAGAGUUUUUUAGGCGACAAUGUAUGUGUGUAAAGUUCAAAACUUCGAUCGGUUUUUGAAGAUAGCGUAUAUUUAAAAAUGUGCUCCAACGAUGUCGAAGCUUCGAGAUUCAGGCAAUCACUGGGCGCUCUGCGCUGAUGUACCCGCCCAACACAGCCUCACCUCGGCACGUCAUUCUGGAAAUCACCGCUGGCUGUAAUGUCUCUGUAGUGUUUAGAACGGCGGAUUUAUUUCAUUUCGGGUCUCAUAAAUCUAUUAUUUGUUCCUUGCCAAGUCCGAAUUAAGUUACGUUACUGUAAGGAUGCAAGUUCUGCCAUUUUUUUGUCGAACUUUCUGGAGGACUUCAUUUCCUCUGAAGCGAGGUGCACGCCACUCAAAGCGGGCAGUAUUUUAUGAGUUCAGUAGAAUCCACUGAAUUGACCCCAACAGAUCAUAUCACCAUGACAGUGGAACUUUUUUCAGCCUUUGCAGUUUGUCAGAUUUUGGAAAGCACCCCUGAGAGGAAAUCCGUAUUAAACCGUUAAAGUGCAAGCAAUUACCAACAAGCAGAGGAGGCUACUUGUGAGACUCCUUGCAUCCCAUCUGCUGGAAACCAAUGGUGAAACCUGAGCCAUCAUCAGACACUAAGAAGGCAUGUGACAAGGCAUUGGUGUAUGAAUUUCCUUGCCUGAAGGAUAUACAGCUGCUAAAGGGGAAACAGCACUGAAGAUGCCAACUCUGCUAGCUCCAUCCAUUUACAGGGGAGGAGGAGAAGUCUUCAGACCUACCACUGUGGAGGCCCAGAGGUCCUUUAUUGACAUGCAACCUGUGGGGACCAACAUGGUGGAAUAUCUGCAAAAUCAGAGAUGUUGCACGUUUUGUGACUUCGGGACGAGCCAAGAAGGACCUGCCAGACCUUUGCCAUUGUUGGAGGCAAUGCCUCUGAGACAAACUCUUUGGUGAAGGAUGUUGAUAAGUUUUUUUUGUCUUUGAUGUUAAGUACACAAAGCAAUAGGUGUGUUCGACUUCAUGCAGCGCUGCGCAGACCGAUCGGCGGCUGACUUGAAGCAGUGCAUUUUGGUUAGUACUUUUGUCCGACUUCAGCUGGCGCUGCAGGCACGUGACUGUGUCAUAUGGUUUUUAAGUACCGCGAGAGCGUUUCGAGAGUAGCCAGCUGGCUCAGCCGGUGCAGCUUCUCCAGAGCGGCUGCCCGGAGUUGUGAUGACGUAACAGCUUUACUUGAUUGGUCGCUUCAUUGAUGACAACGAUCACGUGCGUUUCAAGUUUAAUCCAACCUUUAGUUUCACUAAUAAACAUUAUAAAUUCAUGUUUUAAAACAGGAAAAAAACACUUUAAUAUCCUAAAAUAUGUUAUAUUGUGUCGUGUAAUAAAAUAAAAAUGAAAAUAACAAACUCUAUUGGUAUUUUAAUAAUAUAGGCUUGUUUCCCGUUAUUUUCGGGUAUACAGUUUAAGCAGCAAUUAAAAUAUUCGAUAUAAAAUGUUUCUGGUUGCAACUUUUUAUCAAAAGGUUUGUUUUUAUCAAAUUCAGCAUCUAAUUCACUUAAUUUGCGAUUAUAAACAAGGAAACACGGCGCACACGUCACUACGGCAAGCAGCAGGUGUCCGGCUUGACGGCUCCGUCUUCAGUUCCUCCCUCGACUGCAAGCGGCAAACCUCGUCGAUCGGUCUGCGCAGCGCCGGAUGAUCUCGAACACACCUAUUGUCUUCCCACCUGGGAGUUUCACCAGGAUGACAUUUAUCAGAUUGAUGGACACGAGUCCUCCUCUGUUAACAUUUUGAAGACAACAUUUAAUCACUAAUAAUUAACUAUUUCAGUGCUAUGUUUGAAAGAUUCGCCCACAAUGCAAUGCCAACAGGAGUUUACUUACAGGCUGUGAGGUCAAGUGGUAGGAAUUAUGAUAAUUUCGGUCUUGUCUACGUCACCAAUCCCAGGAAGUAAACUGUUGCCUACAAUCUGUGUUUGUUGUAGUCCAAGAAAAGAGAUCACUCGCAUUAUCGUUUACUUUGGGGUUUGUACCUUUUGCAUAUCGUUAACAUGAAUUAAUAAACAAUUACAUACCAAAGGAAAUGUAAAAAUGUGAAUCGGACCAUAGCUGCUCUUUAAAAAAAAAAUUGUUUCAGGGCUUCUUGUUUUUAAUAACAUUUUGAUGAAUGAAAAUGUAAAGUAAAUGAAAUGCUAAUCAUCAUAGUUUAAAUAUUAAGAGUUAUAAAGUCCGUGGGGAUUGUUUGAUGUCAUAUGGGGGUUGUAACUUUUGUAUUAUACAAAUAUACAAAAAUGUAAUUAAAACAUUGUAUUAAAUGUGAAACAAAUUAAAUGCGAUUUAAAUCACAUUAACAGGGGCCUCUCAGUUUUGUUUUACAGGGGGUAUUUGUUACAUUUAUUUUAUAUCUAACAAUUUGUCACAUUGGAAUUUUAAGGUUCAAUCUGACAUUUUUGUCACAUAUUUUUAAUCUGUAACAAUUUAUUUACAUUAUGUGAAGUUAUGUACAUUUUUGGGAUGUUUUUUAGAAAACAAAAAGGUUCUUUCCAGUAAAACAAAUGGAAUGAGACAGCAAGAGUGUUAAUUUUACCCACUGGUUGUGUCAAAUUAAAUAACCCAGCACUUGAGUAACAUUUAACCCAGCAAGAGUGUUAAUUGUACCCACUGGUUGGGUAAAAUUAAAUAACCCAGCACUUGAGUAACAUUUAACCCAGCAAGAGUGUUAAUUGUACCCACUGGUUGGGUCAAAUUAAAUAACCCAGCACUUGAGUAACAUUUAACCCAGCAAGAGUGUUAAUUGUACCCACUGGUUGGGUCAAAUUAAAUAACCCAGCACUUGAGUAACAUUUAACCCAGCAAGAGUGUUAAUUGUACCCAAAUGGUUGGGUCAAAUGAACAACCCAGAAUUCUGGGUUAAAUGGUCUAACCCAGCAGUUGGGUCAAGCCAACCCAGCGCGUGUUCUGUCCAAUAGUGACCCAGCAGUUGGGUUAUGGUUGGGUUGUUUUUUAACCCAGCAGUUUUUAGAGUGUA